CAAAGCAAGAACCUCUCCAUAGAGACAUAGAUGACAGUGAGGUUGACGAAGGCACAAGAGAGGGAGGCCUGUGUGGAGUCAGUCAUGCCAUCACCAUCUCAGACAACUGAGGAUUCAUGGAGGUCCUCGAGAUCCAUUGAGAACGACACGAUCUGGGUUUCCAAGUCUAAUGAGAUUCUUCUGGAUCUCUGGAAACCAGUUGUCAGGUACGAGUUUUCUUAUCUCGUGACGACUUCAGGUCGUUGGAAAUUUCAAUUCGCACCGGAAUUCGGUGGGGCGCUUCUGGCGCAGUAGGAGAAACGAAAAAUGGACAUACCUUUACUUGUUUUGCUGCACCUUUGUUUGUCUGUAAGAUCUCUCCAUCUUUCUUGUCCACGAGAGAAAAAAUAGAUUGCAGAUCUAGCAGGGAUAAGGAUUAGCACAUCAAUAGUUAGAGUGAUAAAAGAAAAAGUGAUAAAAGAAAGGUUGAUGGAUUUUUGGGACAAAAGGAUCUUCCCUGUUUGUCGUGUCUGGCUUGCCGUCUCUACUCUGUGUUUAUCCGAAUUUAUGGCGUUAUGCUUUCCACUGACAUGAGAGCUUCUCGUGCUGAUAACGUGUUGUAAAAUCGACUGUGGGUGCAGUGGAAUAAAUGAAACAAGACACAAAAUUUACGAGGUUCCUCUACAGUCAGUAUGACUGGAGUACGUCCUCGGGGCAGCAGUGGUGCUUGUUGGAAAUGUGCCCUAAAGCCAAUCAUGUGAUGAUACUUUACGGACAUUUCACAUGUUAAACUAAUCUAGUU
rnacentral:lncRNA from 1 species